UGUGUGCACAGACUGCGGCAGAGCAUGCUGGAAUGCGGCACUGGCUGGAGCUGACAAAUCACCUUGCGCUGCCAGGGUGCUGGACGCAGCCCUUUCCCUGAGACUUGAACUUGAUGAACUGCCACACCUAGAAUUCCAGUGAAAAGAAUUUGAGGAAGAAUUCCAAGCAGGCCCAUCUAAUCAAAGGUGUCAUCAGUCACCUUUUGGAUCCUCCAUAGCCUGGAUAACAUGAAAAUAAGACAAUCUGACCUGAGUUUGAAAAUAGAGUGAAGAGCACUAUAAUCCAAGUCCUAAAAUUACUCUGGACUUUGGUGCUAGCAGAUAAAAGAACUCUGCAUAAGUCAAGGAUGUUUAAA
rnacentral:lncRNA from 1 species